AUUAAGACUCAUGAGCAGGAAACAGGAGUGUGAAUCUUCUUGAGAAUAAAGCAGAGCAGGAAAUUGGUCCCCAAAUGUCAGAAAAAUAAGUGAAAAUCACUAAAUCAACGGCCUGAUCAUGUCUAAUUCCAGGCAACAAGGGGAAUGACCCUACUCUCUGAAAUUACUCUCUAAUUCUCUGAAUGGUUUUCGUCCAUUCACUUUGCCGUUUUGAUAUCAGCCAGAAUGAUACGGUAGGUUUUCCAUAUCUGGCGGUAAUAAAGUAUAGAGGCUAGCACGGAAACAUGAGUGAAUAUCUAGCCCCAACUUAAGAAGCUC